rnacentral:rRNA from 1 species
CGGCAGGCCUUAUACAUGCAAGUCGAGGGGCAGCAUUUACUUCGGUAAAUGGCGACCGGCGCACGGGUGAGUAACGCGUAUGCAACCUACCUUUAACUGGGGCAUAGCUCGAGGAAACUCGAAUUAAUUCCCCAUAGUACAUUAUAAUAUCACAUGAUAUAAAUGUUAAAGAUUUAUCGGUUAAAGAUGGGCAUGCGUCUGAUUAGUUUGUUGGUAAGGUAACGGCUUACCAAGGCUACGAUCAGUAGGGGGUCUGAGAGGAUGAUCCCCCACACUGGUACUGAGACACGGACCAGACAUCUACGGAUGGCAGCAGUAAGGAAUAUUGGGCAAUGGGCGCAAGCCUGACCCAGCCAUGCCGCGUGCAGGAUGACGACCCUAUGGGUUGUAAACUGCUUUUAUAUAGGAAGAAAAUACUCUUGCGAGAGGAUCUGACGGUACUAUAGAAUAAGGACCGGC